AUUGAACGCUGGCGGCAGGCUUAACACAUGCAAGUCGAACGGUAGCAGGAGAAAGCUUGCUUUCUUGCUGACGAGUGGCGGACGGGUGAGUAAUGCUUGGGAAUCUGGCUUAUGGAGGGGGAUAACUACGGGAAACUGUAGCUAAUACCGCGUAGAAUCGGAAGAUGAAAGUGCGGGACCGCAAGGCCGCAUGCCAUGAGAUGAGCCCAAGUGGGAUCAGGUAGUUGGUGGGGUAAAGGCCUACCAAGCCUGCGAUCUCUAGCUGGUCUGAGAGGAUGGCCAGCCACACUGGAACUGAGACACGGUCCAGACUCCUACGGGAGGCAGCAGUGGGGAAUAUUGCGCAAUGGGGGGAACCCUGACGCAGCCAUGCCGCGUGAAUGAAGAAGGCCUUCGGGUUGUAAAGUUCUUUCGGUAUUGAGGAAGGUUGAUGUGUUAAUAGUACAUCAAAUUGACGUUAAAUACAGAAGAAGCACCGGCUAACUCCGUGCCAGCAGCCGCGGUAAUACGGAGGGUGCGAGCGUUAAUCGGAAUAACUGGGCGUAAAGGGCACGCAGGCGGUUAUUUAAGUGAGGUGUGAAAGCCCCGGGCUUAACCUGGGAAUUGCAUUUCAGACUGGGUAACUAGAGUACUUUAGGGAGGGGUAGAAUUCCACGUGUAGCGGUGAAAUGCGUAGAGAUGUGGAGGAAUACCGAAGGCGAAGGCAGCCCCUUGGGAAUGUACUGACGCUCAUGUGCGAAAGCGUGGGGAGCAAACAGG
rnacentral:rRNA from 1 species